UUAAGCGACUAAGCGUACACGGUGGAUGCCCUGGCAGUCAGAGGCGAUGAAGGACGUGCUAAUCUGCGAUAAGCGUCGGUAAGGUGAUAUGAACCGUUAUAACCGGCGAUUUCCGAAUGGGGAAACCCAGUGUGUUUCGACACACUAUCAUUAACUGAAUCCAUAGGUUAAUGAGGCGAACCGGGGGAACUGAAACAUCUAAGUACCCCGAGGAAAAGAAAUCAACCGAGAUUCCCCCAGUAGCGGCGAGCGAACGGGGAGCAGCCCAGAGCCUGAAUCAGUGUGUGUGUUAGUGGAAGCGUCUGGAAAGGCGCGCGAUACAGGGUGACAGCCCCGUACACAAAAAUGCACAUGCUGUGAGCUCGAUGAGUAGGGCGGGACACGUGGUAUCCUGUCUGAAUAUGGGGGGACCAUCCUCCAAGGCUAAAUACUCCUGACUGACCGAUAGUGAACCAGUACCGUGAGGGAAAGGCGAAAAGAACCCCGGCGAGGGGAGUGAAAAAGAACCUGAAACCGUGUACGUACAAGCAGUGGGAGCACGCUUAGGCGUGUGACUGCGUACCUUUUGUAUAAUGGGUCAGCGACUUAUAUUCUGUAGCAAGGUUAACCGAAUAGGGGAGCCGAAGGGAAACCGAGUCUUAACUGGGCGUUAAGUUGCAGGGUAUAGACCCGAAACCCGGUGAUCUAGCCAUGGGCAGGUUGAAGGUUGGGUAACACUAACUGGAGGACCGAACCGACUAAUGUUGAAAAAUUAGCGGAUGACUUGUGGCUGGGGGUGAAAGGCCAAUCAAACCGGGAGAUAGCUGGUUCUCCCCGAAAGCUAUUUAGGUAGCGCCUCGUGAAUUCAUCUCCGGGGGUAGAGCACUGUUUCGGCAAGGGGGUCAUCCCGACUUACCAACCCGAUGCAAACUGCGAAUACCGGAGAAUGUUAUCACGGGAGACACACGGCGGGUGCUAACGUCCGUCGUGAAGAGGGAAACAACCCAGACCGCCAGCUAAGGUCCCAAAGUCAUGGUUAAGUGGGAAACGAUGUGGGAAGGCCCAGACAGCCAGGAUGUUGGCUUAGAAGCAGCCAUCAUUUAAAGAAAGCGUAAUAGCUCACUGGUCGAGUCGGCCUGCGCGGAAGAUGUAACGGGGCUAAACCAUGCACCGAAGCUGCGGCAGCGACGCUUAUGCGUUGUUGGGUAGGGGAGCGUUCUGUAAGCCUGCGAAGGUGUGCUGUGAGGCAUGCUGGAGGUAUCAGAAGUGCGAAUGCUGACAUAAGUAACGAUAAAGCGGGUGAAAAGCCCGCUCGCCGGAAGACCAAGGGUUCCUGUCCAACGUUAAUCGGGGCAGGGUGAGUCGACCCCUAAGGCGAGGCCGAAAGGCGUAGUCGAUGGGAAACAGGUUAAUAUUCCUGUACUUGGUGUUACUGCGAAGGGGGGACGGAGAAGGCUAUGUUGGCCGGGCGACGGUUGUCCCGGUUUAAGCGUGUAGGCUGGUUUUCCAGGCAAAUCCGGAAAAUCAAGGCUGAGGCGUGAUGACGAGGCACUACGGUGCUGAAGCAACAAAUGCCCUGCUUCCAGGAAAAGCCUCUAAGCAUCAGGUAACAUCAAAUCGUACCCCAAACCGACACAGGUGGUCAGGUAGAGAAUACCAAGGCGCUUGAGAGAACUCGGGUGAAGGAACUAGGCAAAAUGGUGCCGUAACUUCGGGAGAAGGCACGCUGAUAUGUAGGUGAAGUCCCUCGCGGAUGGAGCUGAAAUCAGUCGAAGAUACCAGCUGGCUGCAACUGUUUAUUAAAAACACAGCACUGUGCAAACACGAAAGUGGACGUAUACGGUGUGACGCCUGCCCGGUGCCGGAAGGUUAAUUGAUGGGGUUAGCGCAAGCGAAGCUCUUGAUCGAAGCCCCGGUAAACGGCGGCCGUAACUAUAACGGUCCUAAGGUAGCGAAAUUCCUUGUCGGGU
rnacentral:rRNA from 1 species